GGCCCAAUGGUCUAGUCGUAUGAUUCGCGCUUCGGGUUGAGCUUGCGCGAGGUCCCGGGUUCAAUUCCCGGUUGGGCCC
rnacentral:tRNA from 1 species